AACGCUGGCGGCAUGCUUUACACAUGCAAGUCGAACGGCAGCACGGGUGCUUGCACCUGGUGGCGAGUGGCGGACGGGUGAGUAAUGCAUCGGAACGUGUCCUGAAGUGGGGGAUAACGCAUCGAAAGAUGUGCUAAUACCGCAUAUUCUCUGAGGAGGAAAGUAGGGGAUCGAAAGACCUUAUGCUUUUGGAGCGGCCGAUGUCUGAUUAGCUAGUUGGUAGGGUAAUGGCCUACCAAGGCGACGAUCGGUAGCUGGUCUGAGAGGAUGAUCAGCCACACUGGGACUGAGACACGGCCCAGACUCCUACGGGAGGCAGCAGUGGGGAAUAUUGGACAAUGGGCGCAAGCCUGAUCCAGCAAUGCCGCGUGUGUGAAGAAGGCCUGCGGGUUGUAAAGCACUUUUGUUCGGGAAGAAAUCAUGUCGGUUAAUACCCGAUGUGGAUGACGGUACCGAAAGAAUAAGCACCGGCUAACUUCGUG
rnacentral:rRNA from 1 species